AAACUUCAAAAACCCCCCCUGUGGUUUCAUGCAAUCUCACUUUAGUACCCUGUGGUUUAAAACGUAUCAAUUUGCCCCCCUGUGGUUUCGUUUUUAUCUUUUCAGAAGCUUUUUCGUUAAUAUUUCAUUAAAUUAUAUACAAAAAACUUCAGAUAACCAUCUAUGUUUAUCGAAUAUUCACUUUAGUAUCCUUUAAUUUUAAUUUUGUCACUGAUUUAAGAAAAAAAAAUAAUNUUUAUCGAAUAUUCACUUUAGUAUCCUUUAAUUUUAAUUUUGUCACUGAUUUAAGAAAAAAAAAUAAUAAAAUUGAUAACAAAAAGAGAAAAAUGAAACCACAGGGGGGUAAAUUGAUACGUUUUAAACCACAGGGUAUGAAAGUGAGAAUGCAUGAAACCACAGGGGGGGUUUUUGAAGUUUUCCCAAAAAAAAA
rnacentral:lncRNA from 1 species